CUAAAUUUGAUGACAUAAAAAUGUGAACUUCUGUACAUUGGAAAACAUCAGAAACAAACUUGGGAAAAGUAUUUGCACAAUAUCAUCAGUAUUUGGGUAGGUGUCAGACAGUUGCUAUGAGUCCUCAUGACGUCAGGUUAUACCAUCCCCUGGAGCCCUCCACUGCUUUGGAAGGACCAGCGCCUACUUGCUGACAAGCUGCCCAACUGCCAUGGAAUGUUUAGGAGAGGGGAAAGAUGCUCAAAUUGGCCUUUCACUUGGAUGGAUCUAGGAGCCGUAGGAAAGAGAGAACAUGAAUCUUGAGCACAUUCAAAUGUGUCUGCAGAUCUGCCCAAUGGACUGGACAGAAAGGAGAAAAUUGAGGAAUAUGUUUGGAAGAAAGUUCCAGAGCCUAGAGAUCAGUGGGAAGACUGGUUCCAAGAAAAGUGUGAAGUUAGCCUGGCCAUUGUCUACCACAGCACCACCUCCACCCUUGGAGCACCGGUGACGUCUGAGAAGGGAAAGCCAGGCCCGUGGUAUAAUUGAGGAAUCUGACUGUCCUGGUGUGGAAAACCCCUACCAAGGAGCUGGAUAAAAAACAUAGAGGAACUUAUGGCCAGCCGGAGAGAAGAGCCCCAUUAGUUCGGGAGUAGGGAGAACAGCAUCCAGUUGACUGUCAAGAACACGGAAACAGGAGGAGCAGCCGUCUCUGAAAGACUGAAGAGCUGCCUUAGAUACAACAUCAUUUCCAAAUCAGAGUGGUGGAGGCAAUCAGGAUACUUAUAUAAGGCCAUUAAAGAUCCUUCAUUAGCAUCAAGUGCCCCUUUGUAAUGAUCCAGGUAGCCUGGGAGGAAGAAGGUUUAACCUCUCUGCAGGGAAGAAGCCUCAGAUGCUGAAGAUUUCACUGUCCAAGGUAAAGGCAGCAGCUUACAGCAGACCACUCUGUAAAGCAGUGCUGCUUAACUGUGAUGUUGAGGUGGAAAAAAGUUUUCCUCAACCCUCUUAGGAUCUCUGGCUGGGUCUGAAAAUUAAACUGACAAAGACAGAUUAACAGGAGAAAAGCAUGCAAAUUUUGUUGAAUUUUUACAUGUACAUGGGAGCCUUCACAAGAGAACAAAGACCUGAAGAAAUGACCCGAGCAGGAAGUUUUAUACAUUUUAGACAAAGAAACAUUAAAUGUGUGAAGAAAUGACAAGACAAUGGCGUUUGGGCUGGGAGUAAUUAAUAGUGAAGGAGUAACGAGGAAGAUAAAGUGUCACAUUAAAUGGAGAAAAUUUUUAAGAUUCCUCUGCCUGUUCCUUGAUUUUGUAGUGGACCUUGAUUGUCUAUGAUUGAGAGCACUCUUGCAAGGUGGUCUUUGCAGCAAGAAAGCUCAUGGAAAAGAAGUCAUUUUGAGUGGAGAUGCA
rnacentral:lncRNA from 1 species